GCCCGGAUGGUGAAAUUGGUAGACACGCUAGUUUCAGGUACUAGUGCCGCGAGGUUUGGGAGUUCGAGUCUCCCUCCGGGCA
rnacentral:tRNA from 1 species